GGGGGGGGGGGGGGGGGGGGGUCUGUCCCCUCGUUUUGGUGCGACGCUGCCCGUUAGCUUUUGUUUUGCUGUCUGGUUGCCUGUUUCGAUGUGUAGACCGAGAGAUUCAAAAACUACUCGUGACCCCAGCUGCCAUCUUCCCAGGACUGUCUCCCCCUUUCCUUGUAGUGGAUUGAAAACAAGGAGAGAGUUUAACUUUCCAGCUACUCUUACAAAGUGCGUGCGAGGUGCUGUGUCGGGACAGGAGGGCCCCGGCUCCCCCAUUCUGGCCCCGACGGCGGCCAUCCGCCUCAGGAGGAGAUCCUGGCCCUCGUGAGCCCGGCUCAGGGGAAACCUCCUGACAGGAAACUCAGACUGUAAGUCAGAAACAAGCAAAGAGAAAAGAGGUCCCGCCUCAAGGCUGCGUCUUGUUUCUCCACCAACACGUCUUCCCGUGAGAGUACUUUUCCUCGGGGAGCACACAGUUGAGCACUUGGCUGGGAUCACAGAGGGGGCCCCGAACCCCCGGCCCCGCCUGCACCCGUGACAAGGUCCAGCGGCAGAACAAACAUUUUCCCUCGGCCUCUGAAGGAAACGGGGCUUCUUGCCGCCUCUCCUGAGCUAUUUGUUCAGUCCUGAGCUGUUCCCCACACGCGGAAGGACUCACUCCGUCUCACAGACACCGAAGCCAAGCGGGCCUCGCGGAAACCGGGUGUUCGCUCCUUCUGCUCUGCCUCCAGGGACUUUGGUAAUCUUGGCUAAUACGACUUUUAAACUUUACCGUUUUAAAUUACAAAAUGAUUACUUGUGAUGUAUUCAAUUUAGAAAGGCGGGAAGUGUAGAGAAAGGGGAAGAAAAUAAAAAUCAGCAGAGAUUAGAAGGCACCAGGGUGUAUGUCCUAUUAUCUCUCUUUCCAAUGAAGUCAUAGUUUUAGCCACGAGUAUAAAAUCUGGGCUGUGGCCCAAGUCAGGGUCCACCGACCACCGUGCCAGGCCCAGCGUGCCCUGUGCUGGCUUCUGUACGGCCUCCAAGCUAAGAACCUCUUCCAUGUUUUCAAACGGCUGGGGGAAAAAAGUUAAAAUCAGAAUAUUUCAGGACAUGGGGAAGUUACCUGGAAUCCAAAGUUCAGUGUCCACGGACGAGUCUGCGGGCACGGGCCCCACCCCUGUUCACCGCGGCCGCAGCUGCUCCCCCCCCCACCCCCCGAGACCCCGGAGCCGGCGGCCAGUGGCGGGGAGCGCGGCCCGCAAAGCCACCGUGUCUGAGACCCCGCUGCGCACGCGGCUGCACCGUCCCUGCAGCUCUGCGGGCACCUUCCGCCGUCGACCCCCGUUUCACAAGCCGAAGAGGAGACGAGGACACGAAGCAACGUCCCGAGCCUCCCACGCGGAAGCCACGGGGCGUCUGUUAGACGAGUCGCUCCGGGAUGUGUGUGGACCGAGGCCCGGAAUCAGGCGCGUGGGGGCACAAGGGUCCCCAGCGUCUUCUUGGCGGUUUUCCGCACGUGCCGUCCGCCGGGCGCCAAGAGGCCAGAAAGGCAGAAACGAGCAAGCCCCGCCCACCAGGCGCUCCGUAGAAACGCAGGCCUUGGAGGGGUGGCCUCUGCGCCCUCGGGAUGUAGGCGUUGGACGUCAGCACUCGCCAGCGCGCUAACCCAGUUCCGCGGGAACUGCUGCAGGUGGGGUGGGGUCUCCAGGUUCAGUGUGGGGGGGGGGGGGCAACAGUUCCCGGAGGAGAGGCCUGGGCUCCGAGGAAGCGCCCCCAUCCCCCGCCCUAGGAACCUGGCCACUCAGACAGUGCUCACCGAGGGGGCAGGGACCACCCGGCCCUGUCACACAAUCACAUGCCCAAAGAACCACCGCGGCUGGUUUUGCGGGACCCUGGAUUCCUGGAUCUGACGAUCAGAAUCGAAGUCCCACGCCCACGGCCGACGGGGACCCUCACAGAGAUCAGUGGACAUCCCUGGAGAGAACACGUGCACAGGGGAUCAGAGCAGCCACCAUCCCAGGCCCCUGACUCUUUCUAACAGAAAAAUAAAUGGGGGUGCGUUUGGGGAAGAAGAGGGACGAUUUCUUACUUAUAGGCAGAACACUUGAUUUAUUCAGAGUGUAAGAAAAAUAGUUGUGUGUGCGACCUCAAAGGUUCGUAAAAUCAAUCUUUUGCAAGAGAAUGACUUUCCAAAGAUUUAUUAAAGCUUGCUGGGAUUUUCAGCAUGUUAAGGAAAAUCCAGGAAAACACACCUUUUCCUGAUGGCUUUAGAAACCUCUGCACCUUUUCCUACAAUUUCCCCCAUUUUGUAGCUUUUCUGUUGUUUUCUGCGUAUAACCUUUCCCGUACUUUCCACUUUCAUGAGCAUGUGCUAUCAUUCUCUCCCUUUCUUUUUCUUCUUGCUCCUACAAGCUAGCUUGAAUAAAGGAGUCAUUAUCAGCCGCCCCACAAUGGACCCACACAUCCUCAGUCAAGACGCCAAACGGACGAAAUAUUGAUCAGUCUUCCGGACCGCUGAGAGGCUGAAAGUUAACCCCGGAGCUUCCUGCCGGGCCGGCCCAUCCGCGGCAGCCAGAUACCCCGCCCCCCGCUCCGCCACCGAGCCUGGGGCGCCCCCGUGGCGAGUGCGGGGAAGACCAGCAGCAGGAGCUGGCGGAGCCUCUGCACGGCCCCGGCGAGGAGCAGCGUGGGGCUGGCGGCGGCCCUGCCACUCUGCACCACCCACCCACAGGCACCGAAAUGGCCAGCCAGCGGCCAGGGGGCGGUGACCGUGGACGGACGUUGCAGCCUGCCCGGCUCUCGGUGCCGGUGUCUGGACACGCAGGGAGGCCAGAGGCGAGGGAGUUCGCUGGGUGUGGAGGUCGCCGGGUGUGGAGGUGGCCGUCACCAAGCCUGCCGACACCUGGAAGCCCGGCCGGUCUGAGCACAGAGGCGGCACGUCCGCCACUGUGCUUCUGUUCCGCGGGAACCCUGGCACACAGCAGGUUUGCCUAGAGAAGAUUUAAUUCCGUUCUGGGUCCAACUCACAAUUCUGUUUCGAGAUUAGACGCCAUAUCACACAUUAUACGGGCAGCGGCUGAAUUGCGGGAAACGUGGGUCGUGCCCUUGGGGAUCUCAGGAUGCCCCAUCCCUUCUUCUAGCAAGGCGGCCUUCGAGGGUCAUGGCCAGUUGGUCUUGCUCCCAGUGGAGUCGAGACUCUGGGCAGCUGCCUUGCCGAGCGAGUCCUGGCCUCGUCUCCGUGGACGUCCCACCCACACUCAGAACCCUGACCAGUCUUGAGGCAUGAUUUAUUUAAUUUUAAUUUUUUUAAGCUUAUGUAUUUAUUUUGAGACCGUGAGAGAGCAUGAGUGAGGAGAGGCAGAGAGAGAAGGAGAGAAUCCCAAGCAGGCUCCCCACUGUCAGCACAGAGCCCGAUGCGGGGCUCGAACUCACAGACUGUGAGAUCACGACCUGAGCCGAAACCAAGAGGCGGAUGCUCCACCGAUGGAGCCACCCAGCCACCCGAGGCAAGAUUUAAAACCCAUGGAGUCAGCCUGGCAGGACCACGGACUCUGCACAUAACUAACUCCUGAAACAUCAGAGGAAGGAUGACAGGGCCAUGAUGAAGCCACAGAAAUCAGUGACCACAGCGCCCAAAGCCAAGCCCAUGUCCGGUAGUUUGUGGGCAAAGGUAAACUGUAGAAACCAGCCACCUUCCUAGAGGAGUCGACACUCCACGGUCGUACCCCCACCGUGUAAACGCCACACUCGGGCUCCCGGCCAAGCCGGUCCACCACCGCUGACCCCGGGGCUGGGCGGACGCCCUUCUUCCAGAGAUGGGCCCAGCGGGGCUCCGGGCCUUUGAGUCUCCUGUCCUCACUGACAGUUCAGCUCUCCUGUCUGUAAGUGAUGGAAACAGGAGGAGACGGGGUCACGGUGUGGAGCCCUGGACCGGUGUUGACCUCUAGGGGCUUUUCUGAGCUACUCCCUCCCAGCCCCUGCCCCCUGCCCUCCCACUUUUAACCUCACAUUAAAAUACAUGUAAAUGGA